rnacentral:rRNA from 1 species
UACGUAGGGUGCAAGCGUUGUCCGGAAUUAUUGGGCGUAAAGAGCCUCGUGAGCGGUUUGUCGCGUCUGCUGUGAAAACCCGAGGCUCAACCUCGGGCCUGCAGUGGGUACGGGCAGACUAGAGUGCGGUAGGGGAGAUUGGAAUUCCUGGUGUAGCGGUGGAAUGCGCAGAUAUCAGGAGGAACACCAAUGGCGAAGGCAGAUCUCUGGGCCGUAACUGACGCUGAGGAGCGAAAGCAUGGGGAGCGAACAGG